ACGAACGCUGGCGGCGUGCCUAAUACAUGCAAGUAGAACGCUGAAGAGAGGGGCUUGCUCUUCUUGGAUGAGUUGCGAACGGGUGAGUAACGCGUAGGUAACCUGCCUUGUAGCGGGGGAUAACUAUUGGAAACGAUAGCUAAUACCGCAUAACAAUGGAUGACACAUGUCAUUUAUUUGAAAGGGGCAAUUGCUCCACUACAAGAUGGACCUGCGUUGUAUUAGCUAGUAGGUGAGGUAAUGGCUCACCUAGGCGACGAUACAUAGCCGACCUGAGAGGGUGAUCGGCCACACUGGGACUGAGACACGGCCCAGACUCCUACGGGAGGCAGCAGUAGGGAAUCUUCGGCAAUGGGGGCAACCCUGACCGAGCAACGCCGCGUGAGUGAAGAAGGUUUUCGGAUCGUAAAGCUCUGUUGUAAGUCAAGAACGGGUGUGAGAGUGGAAAGUUCACACUGUGACGGUAGCUUACCAGAAAGGGACGGCUAACUACGUGCCAGCAGCCGCGGUAAUACGUAGGUCCCGAGCGUUGUCCGGAUUUAUUGGGCGUAAAGCGAGCGCAGGCGGUUUGAUAAGUCUGAAGUUAAAGGCUGUGGCUCAACCAUAGUUCGCUUUGGAAACUGUCAAACUUGAGUGCAGAAGGGGAGAGUGGAAUUCCAUGUGUAGCGGUGAAAUGCGUAGAUAUAUGGAGGAACACCGGUGGCGAAAGCGGCUCUCUGGUCUGUAACUGACGCUGAGGCUCGAAAGCGUGGGGAGCGAACAGGAUUAGAUACCCUGGUAGUCCACGCCGUAAACGAUGAGUGCUAGGUGUUGGAUCCUUUCCGGGAUUCAGUGCCGCAGCUAACGCAUUAAGCACUCCGCCUGGGGAGUACGACCGCAAGGUUGAAACUCAAAGGAAUUGACGGGGGCCCGCACAAGCGGUGGAGCAUGUGGUUUAAUUCGAAGCAACGCGAAGAACCUUACCAGGUCUUGACAUCCCGAUGCUAUUUCUAGAGAUAGAAAGUUACUUCGGUACAUCGGUGACAGGUGGUGCAUGGUUGUCGUCAGCUCGUGUCGUGAGAUGUUGGGUUAAGUCCCGCAACGAGCGCAACCCCUAUUGUUAGUUGCCAUCAUUCAGUUGGGCACUCUAGCGAGACUGCCGGUAAUAAACCGGAGGAAGGUGGGGAUGACGUCAAAUCAUCAUGCCCCUUAUGACCUGGGCUACACACGUGCUACAAUGGUUGGUACAACGAGUUGCGAGUCGGUGACGGCGAGCUAAUCUCUUAAAGCCAAUCUCAGUUCGGAUUGUAGGCUGCAACUCGCCUACAUGAAGUCGGAAUCGCUAGUAAUCGCGGAUCAGCACGCCGCGGUGAAUACGUUCCCGGGCCUUGUACACACCGCCCGUCACACCACGAGAGUUUGUAACACCCGAAGUCGGUGAGGUAACCUUUUGGAGCCAGCCGCCUAAGGUGGGACAGAUGAUUGGGGUG
rnacentral:rRNA from 1 species